GCCUACGGGACGCAGCAGCCGCGGUAAUACGGAGGAUGCGAGCGUUAUCCGGAUUUAUUGGGUUUAAAGGGUGCGUAGGCGGAAUGCCAAGUCAGCGGUAAAAUCGCGGGGCUCAACCUCGCUCCGCCGUUGAAACUGGCGUUCUUGAGUGGGCGAGAAGUAUGCGGAAUGCGUGGUGUAGCGGUGAAAUGCUUAGAUAUCACGAAGAACUCCGAUUGCGAAGGCAGCCUACUAAACUGCCACUGACAUUGAUGCUCGAAAGUGUGGGUAUCAAACAGGAUUAGAAACCCCUGUAGUCCGCAGAU
rnacentral:rRNA from 1 species